AUUGCCCUAGUAACGGCGAGUGAAGCGGCAACAGCUCAAAUUUGAAAUCUGGCUUCGGCCCGAGUUGUAAUUUGCAGAGGAAGCUUUAGGCGCGGCACCAUCUGAGUCCCCUGGAACGGGGCGCCAUAGAGGGUGAGAGCCCCGUAUAGUUGGACGCCUAGCCUGUGUAAAGCUCCUUCGACGAGUCGAGUAGUUUGGGAAUGCUGCUCAAAAUGGGAGGUAAAUUUCUUCUAAAGCUAAAUACCGGCCAGAGACCGAUAGCGCACAAGUAGAGUGAUCGAAAGAUGAAAAGCACUUUGAAAAGAGGGUUAAAUAGCACGUGAAAUUGUUGAAAGGGAAGCGCUUGUGACCAGACUUGCGCCGGGCGGAUCAUCCGGUGUUCUCACCGGUGCACUCCGCCCGGCUCAGGCCAGCAUCGGUUCUCGCGGGGGGAUAAAGGCCCUGGGAACGUAGCUCCUCCGGGAGUGUUAUAGCCCAGGGCGUAAUGCCCUCGCGGGGACCGAGGACCGCGCAUCUGCAAGGAUGCUGGCGUAAUGGUCAUCAGCGACCCGUCUUGAAACACGGACCAAGGAGUCAAGGUUUUGCGCGAGUGUUUGGGUGUAAAACCCGCACGCGUAAUGAAAGUGAACGUAGGUGAGAGCUUCGGCGCAUCAUCGACCGAUCCUGAUGUUUUCGGAUGGAUUUGAGUAGGAGCGUUAAGCCUUGGACCCGAAAGAUGGUGAACUAUGCUUGGAUAGGGUGAAGCCAGAGGAAACUCUGGUGGAGGCUCGCAGCGGUUCUGACGUGCAAAUCGAUCGUCAAAUCUGAGCAUGGGGCGAAAGACUAAUCGA
rnacentral:rRNA from 1 species